GAGGGUAUAGCUCAAGUGGUAGAGUGCAUGCUUAGCAUGCAUGAGGUCCUAGAUUCAAUCUCCAGUACCUCCU
rfam:Camelus ferus unplaced genomic scaffold scaffold641, whole genome shotgun sequence.